UCCGCCCCCCGCGAUGGUGAGGAUGUCCCCUAUGGUCUCGUCCGCUGGCUCCUGCUUCGGCGCCUGGUGUCCCGUGGGUAUUAUCGUCGGGCGGUUUGUCGUCGGGCUUCAUUUUGCUGAGGAUCUUCGCUAGGUUUAGGCAUUCGGCCGUCGUAUGGCCGUUGUCCUCGUGGUAUUCGCAAAACCGACGGGUGUCCCUGAACGCCGCUGUGUCCUUUCUCAUUGGUCUCGGCAGAGGUAGGGUUCCUGUUACGCUCAACGUUAGGAAAACCUGUCUUUGGUUCGCCGCCGGGGCGGGGCCUGCCUCCCUCCGUCCCGCCGUUGCCGGGGUGCCGGUUCUGUAC
rnacentral:lncRNA from 1 species